rnacentral:rRNA from 1 species
GACGUAGGGGGCCAGCGUUGCUCGGAAUUACUGGGCGUAAAGGGUUCGUAGGCGGUGUGGCAAGUCGGGAGUGAAAUCUCUGGGCUUAACUCAGAGGCUGCUUCCGAAACUGCCGUGCUAGAGUGCGGGAGAGGCGAGUGGAAUUGCAGGUGUAGCGGUGAAAUGCGUAGAUAUCUGCAGGAACACCCGUGGCGAAGGCGGCUCGCUGGACCGCAACUGACGCUGGGGAACGAAAGCUAGGGGAGCAAACAGG